rnacentral:rRNA from 1 species
UACAGAGGUCCCCAAGCGUUGUUCGGAUUCACUGGGCGUAAAGGGUGCGUAGGUGGUCGGGUAAGUCUGAUGUGAAAUCUCCGAGCUUAACUCGGAAACUGCAUCGGAUACUAUUUGGCUUGAGGGUUGGAGGGGGGACUGGAAUACUUGGUGUAGCAGUGAAAUGCGUAGAUAUCAAGUGGAACACCAGUGGCGAAGGCGAGUCCCUGGACAACUCCUGACACUGAGGUGCGAAAGCGUGGGGAGCAAACAGGAUUAGAAA